rnacentral:rRNA from 2 species
CUUAAAUUGAAGAGUUUGAUCAUGGCUCAGAUUGAACGCUGGCGGCAGGCCUAACACAUGCAAGUCGAGCGGUAGCACAGAAGAGCUUGCUCUUUGGGUGACGAGCGGCGGACGGGUGAGUAAUGUCUGGGAAACUGCCUGAUGGAGGGGGAUAACUACUGGAAACGGUAGCUAAUACCGCAUAACCUCGCAAGAGCAAAGAGGGGGACCUUAGGGCCUCUCGCCAUCAGAUGUGCCCAGAUGGGAUUAGCUAGUAGGUGAGGUAAUGGCUCACCUAGGCGACGAUCCCUAGCUGGUCUGAGAGGAUGACCAGCCACACUGGAACUGAGACACGGUCCAGACUCCUACGGGAGGCAGCAGUGGGGAAUAUUGCACAAUGGGCGCAAGCCUGAUGCAGCCAUGCCGCGUGUGUGAAGAAGGCCUUCGGGUUGUAAAGCACUUUCAGCGGGGAGGAAGGCGGUAAGGUUAAUAACCUUAUCGAUUGACGUUACCCGCAGAAGAAGCACCGGCUAACUCCGUGCCAGCAGCCGCGGUAAUACGGAGGGUGCAAGCGUUAAUCGGAAUGACUGGGCGUAAAGCGCACGCAGGCGGUCUGUUAAGUUGGAUGUGAAAUCCCCGGGCUUAACCUGGGAACUGCAUUCAAAACUGACAGGCUAGAGUCUUGUAGAGGGGGGUAGAAUUCCAGGUGUAGCGGUGAAAUGCGUAGAGAUCUGGAGGAAUACCGGUGGCGAAGGCGGCCCCCUGGACAAAGACUGACGCUCAGGUGCGAAAGCGUGGGGAGCAAACAGGAUUAGAUACCCUGGUAGUCCACGCUGUAAACGAUGUCGAUUUGGAGGUUGUGCCCUUGAGGCGUGGCUUCCGGAGCUAACGCGUUAAAUCGACCGCCUGGGGAGUACGGCCGCAAGGUUAAAACUCAAAUGAAUUGACGGGGGCCCGCACAAGCGGUGGAGCAUGUGGUUUAAUUCGAUGCAACGCGAAGAACCUUACCUACUCUUGACAUCCAGAGAACUUAGCAGAGAUGCUUUGGUGCCUUCGGGAACUCUGAGACAGGUGCUGCAUGGCUGUCGUCAGCUCGUGUUGUGAAAUGUUGGGUUAAGUCCCGCAACGAGCGCAACCCUUAUCCUUUGUUGCCAGCGAUUCGGUCGGGAACUCAAAGGAGACUGCCGGUGAUAAACCGGAGGAAGGUGGGGAUGACGUCAAGUCAUCAUGGCCCUUACGAGUAGGGCUACACACGUGCUACAAUGGCGUAUACAAAGAGAAGCGACCUCGCGAGAGCAAGCGGACCUCAUAAAGUACGUCGUAGUCCGGAUUGGAGUCUGCAACUCGACUCCAUGAAGUCGGAAUCGCUAGUAAUCGUAGAUCAGAAUGCUACGGUGAAUACGUUCCCGGGCCUUGUACACACCGCCCGUCACACCAUGGGAGUGGGUUGCAAAAGAAGUAGGUAGCUUAACCUUCGGGAGGGCGCUUACCACUUUGUGAUUCAUGACUGGGGUGAAGUCGUAACAAGGUAACCGUAGGGGAACCUGCGGUUGGAUCACCUCCUUACCAAGAAG